GCGGAGCACACGGUAGAACAAGGAAAAGAAGAAGAGAAGAAGGUAAAAAGAAGUUAUAUCUUUGAUGGAUGCAACAUACUUAACGUUAUACGCUUAUGCAAAACGGCUCUAAGUAUUUUAACCACAUAACGAUUCAGAGAGGUUCAGCGCUACCACCUUUGGAGCAAUGCACAACAUGCUGCAGAAAUUUUCACUGCCCUUUUUGUGAUGGUCUUUGAGGCACCCUUUGAUUUCACAGCUUCUGAUUUCCCUCUUAUUCGAAAAUGGUGGUGCCUUAUUCUGAUGGAGAACUUUGCCAUUGAAAGGUAACUCUCUCGCUC